rnacentral:rRNA from 1 species
GUGCACCAGUCGCGAAACCUCCGCAAUGCGCGCAAGCGCGACGGGGCCAUCCCGAGUGCCGCUCGCUGAGGGCGGCUUUCUCCGGUGUAAGUAGCCGGAGGAAUAAGGAGAGGGCAAGUCUGGUGUCAGCCGCCGCGGUAAUACCAGCUCUCCGAGUGGUGGGGACGAUUAUUGGGCCUAAAGCGUCCGUAGCCGGCUUGACAAGUCUCCCGUUAAAUCCAGCGGCCUAACCGCUGGGCUGCGGGAGAUACUGUCAAGCUUGGGGGCGGGAGAGGCCAGCGGUAUUCCCGGGGUAGGGGUGAAAUCCGUUAAUCCCGGGAGGACCACCAGUGGCGAAGGCGGCCGGCCAGAACGCGCCCGACGGUGAGGGACGAAAGCUGGGGGAGCGAACCGGAUUAGAUACCCGGUAGU